rnacentral:rRNA from 1 species
AUUGAACGCUGGCGGCAGGCCUAACCCAUGCAAGUCGAACGCGUGGCGGACGGGUGAGUCAUGUCUGGGAAACUGCCUGAUGGAGGGGGAUAACUACUGGAAACGGUAGCUAAUACCGCAUACCAUCAAAUGUGCCCAGAUGGGGUUAGCUUGUUGGUUGGGUAACGGCUCACCAAGGCGACGAUCCCUACCUGAUCUGAGAAGAUGACCAGCAACACUGGAACUGGGACACGGUCCAGACUCCCACGGGAGGCAGCAGUGGGGAAUAUUGCACAAUGGGCGCAAUCCUGAUGCAGCAAUGCCGCGUGUAUGAAGAAGGCCUUCGGGUUGUAAAGUACUUUCAGCGGGGAGGCGUUACCCGAAGAAGAAGCACCGGCUAACGCCGUGCCAGCAGCCGCGGUAAUAC